rnacentral:rRNA from 1 species
UACGUAGGGUGCAAGCGUUAAUCGGAAUUACUGGGCGUAAAGCGUGCGCAGGCGGUUUUGUAAGUCUGUCGUGAAAUCCCCGGGCUCAACCUGGGAAUGGCGAUGGAGACUGCAAGGCUAGAGUUUGGCAGAGGGGGGUAGAAUUCCACGUGUAGCAGUGAAAUGCGUAGAGAUGUGGAGGAAUACCGAUGGCGAAGGCAGCCCCCUGGGAUAACACUGACGCUCAUGCACGAAAGCGUGGGGAGCAAACAGG